GGAUAAAUGUAUGAUUGUCUCAAGCACACGGUACAUUACCCAAGUCUUUAUGUAUGUAUUAGUUGCAAACUUGUACUAGUAUAUUAGCCCUGAAUUGGUUAUGCUAUCAUAAAGGUUAAACAUUUGAUAUUGCUUAAGUUAUCGUAAAGGUUAAAGCAUUGAAGGCCACACUUGGAUGCUUUGUUUUGUGCGUUGGAAGGGUCCAUUAGAUACUUUGGGUGUGGAAGAGCUUAAGAAAUGUUUAAAAUGUGUUGUAACUAAAUUAAAGAGGGGGUGGGGGCAGUCAUCCUUCC
rnacentral:lncRNA from 1 species